rnacentral:rRNA from 1 species
UACGGGGGGUGCAAGCGUUGUUCGGAAUCAUUGGGCGUAAAGAGCGUGUAGGCGGCUGGAUAAGUCAGAUGUGAAAGCCCUGGGCUUAACCCAGGAAGUGCAUUUGAAACUGUCCAGCUUGAGUAGGGGAGAGGAAAGUGGAAUUCCUGGUGUAGAGGUGAAAUUCGUAGAUAUCAGGAGGAACACCGGUGGCGAAGGCGACUUUCUGGCCCUAUACUGACGCUGAGACGCGAGAGCGUGGGUAGCAAACAGGAUUAGAUACCCUGGUAGUCCACGCUGUAAACGAUGUUCACUAGGUGUUGGGGGUAUUGACCCUCUCAGUGCCGCAGCUAACGCAUUAAGUGAACCGCCUGGGGAGUACGGUCGCAAGAUUAAA